GGCUGGAAAUUGUAGGGACACAUGCUGACAGGCCUUUUCCGCCCUGCGGAAAAACCGACUCCUGCAAAAUAACAGGCUACUUCCGGUGCGUAACAACCAUGCUUGUGCGGGGCACGCGCUGAGGCUAAAACCCUCCCUGAGAAACAAUGAGGCUUCUAAAAAUGGUUCCGGGCCCUCUGAGGCCGGGACAGCUCAAAAGGGCUCGGCUUUCCCCUCGCUCCACCUCCCCGCGCUCGAUUCCAGAGCUCAGCGCGGGUGAUUCAAUUAUUAUUGCACUCAAACGUGGCUUAGUAUCCAUUGAUGAAUACUGUAUGACUCAACCAAGAGAGGCCAGGAAGUAGGAACAUGCGGCUGAGGUUACACGGAGGCUACACCAGUCACACCACAGUAACCUGCUGUUGAGGAUUUCCCUGCUGGCAUAGCCACCCGCCCCUCAAGGACUGCAGGUACAAUGAUUAUAUCAUAAACUCUCCCUGGGUCUUGUUUUCACUUGUUCAAAAUUCAAAGUCCAGUUGGGAGCAUUCCAGUUGGUUGGCCUAGGCCAAGUGCUUACCCCUGGGCUGUGAAGAAGUGGGAGAGAGGAUGAAUGACCUUCUCCAGCUGCCAUAAAGAGGGUAGAGCCUCAGCCUACCAAUAUUGUCCGCAGUAGGGGACCAUGCAGAAACAGGAAGAUGAUUUGAACACUGGGUGACGAACAACCCCUUCUCCAAAUAUCUACUUCAUAGCUGGAGAGACAGAGAUACAUAUGUAAGAAAAGGAAAAAGUUGGAAAGAUUAUGCAGCAAACCAGUGGUAUGCUGGUAAAUUUUUAACAAAAGCCCCCAGGGGAAAAAGGGGGGGGGAAGCCCUGUUUUAUAGUGUUCACCUGUUUCUGUUGUGUAACUGUUCCCACCAUACCCAAUUUCUUUUUUUCUUUUUUUUUUUCCCUUCAGCUAAGACAGCAGAAGAGGUGAUUUAUUGUACACGUGUUACAUUCAGCCACAAAUGAAAACCGAAUUAGUCCCGAAAGUCACAGGUGCAGGACAGAGGACCAAAAGGGACUGUUUUGGUAUGAACAAGGCAGGUCUCUCAAAGGUGGUCGUUAAGAUCAGAUGGUGAUGGACGGUCUAGAUCCGUUCAAUCAAGUUCUAGAAAGUAGACAUGCAGUCCAACAAUUGGUACCAGCGUCCCUGGCCUCUGGCACAAGCUAGCGGUUUACUUAGACCUCUGCCUCAUCUUUCUUUUUUUAUGCUUUAGCCUGCACAUUCGCUUCUUCCUCCACUUAGCUCUCAUAGCGCAAAGGUUUCCAAGAAGAUGGUGCUAAGGCCGAGAGCGCACCAUACCCAAUUUCUAGGGUGACAUGAUGGAACACAGAACUGAGGAAGAGAUACGCAAUAGCUCACCGUUACAUAGCAUUUCCACUAUACAGAUACUAUUGAAGCAAAUCACCUCAAGAGAUAAUUGGAAAACACAGUGAAAUAAUCAGG
rnacentral:lncRNA from 1 species